rnacentral:rRNA from 1 species
UACGGAGGUCCCGAGCGUUGUUCGGAUUCACUGGGCGUAAAGGGUGCGUAGGUGGUGAGGUAAGUCGGAUGUGAAAUCUCCAAGCUCAACUUGGAAAUGGCAUUGGAAACUACCUUGCUGGAGGUUUGGAGGGGGGACUGGAAUUCUCGGUGUAGCAGUGAAAUGCGUAGAUAUUGGGAGGAACACCAGUGGCGAAGGCGGCUCACUGGACCGGUUCUGACGCUGAUGCGCGAAAGCGUGGGGAGCAAACAGG